UUUCAGAUAAGUGACUGGUAGAUAACUGAGGUGACAUCCUCAAUCUUCAAGGCUUUUUUCUUUCUGAUUCUAUAUACGUACAGAUGAUACAAAGCAAGUUAAAUAUUAGUUCAUUGGUGUCAGUUUAUUCUGUUAAAUAUUGCUGAUUGCUUUCAGGUGACCUAAUGAUUUUUAUUUAUUGAGUCAUAAUUUUUAUUGAAAGAUCAUUGACUAUAUUUUAACCAUCUGAUAUUUAAGCUUUCCAGGCUAAAAGGUGGGUGGAUCACCUUAGGACAGGAGUUCAAGACCAGCCUGGCCAACAUGGAGAAACCCUGUCUCUACCAAAAAUACAAAAAUUAGCCAGCUGUAGUGGUGCACGACUGUAAUCCUAGCUACUCGGGAGGCUGAGACACGAGAAUCACUUGAAACCAGGAAGCAGAGGUUGCAGUGAGCUGAGAUUGUAGCACUACACACCAUCCUGGGUGACAGUGUGAGACUGUCUCGGAAAAAAAAAAAAAUUGAAGAUAUCAUUUGCCAUUUAAUUUUUUUUUUUUUUUUUGGUUUCUUUUUUGGUAUAGCUGUCAAUUUUAAGGCCAAAUCUUUUAUUUUGAAAGAUUUUACCCAUGUUAAUUUCUAUAAUUCUGAAGUCAUUACUCACAGCUAGAAAUAAAUUUAGAAAUAAUCAAUGCACAUCCAAAC
rnacentral:lncRNA from 1 species